rnacentral:lncRNA from 1 species
AUUAUUAGACUUGAUCAUUCUCAACCUUAGGUCAAACUCUGACUUGGUUGUACUGCAACCAUGGUCCUCUCUCGGACAUGGUCAAUUUCGGCCCUGCCAUCUCGGCCGGAGCCGACAGAAACGGACUCUAGGACAGCGGAGCUGUCCCUGGCUCUAGUUCAAUCGUAAAUGGAUCCGACCUAUCAGGGGGGACACCCUGAGGUACCUGGAACACAUCUGGGAACUUCGACACCAACGAAUCCUCUGAAAGGUCUUUCAGACAUACAGAACUACCCGGCUCUGUAGUUGUAAUUGUAGCCAAAAAGGACUGACAACCCUGUUCCAACAUCCGAAUCGCUCGAACUGCUGAAACCACUACUUUCUCUUGAGCCGGACACAGACAUUGGUACUGGAUCGGAUGAAGCCCAGUCUCCAAUUGCACACGACCUCUAUGGCAAUCGAGAGUGGCCCGAUACUUUCCCAACCAGUCCAUACCUAGGAUCAUCGCGUGAUUCUUUAGGUGGACACAGACAGAUUCACAGGGAAUACCUUUCCCUGAAUUGACACUGGGAUAUUUAACAUGAGACCUAAUGAGUUCCUGGCUUGCCCUCCGGCCGCCCUCACUAUCCCAAAAUAAUCACCAGCGUCCAGACAGAACAGACCCUUUCCGACCAGUCCCGGACUCACAAAACCUAUGUGUAGCCUCUGCGUCGGAAAGUACGUGGGUUUUUACACCACCAAUCAUGAGGGUUCCUAUCAGAGACCCCCAUCAGAAUCCCCUAGACAAUUCUAGGUUCCAGACCAAGCAUUACUACUUGAAUGUAAAAAGAUAAAUUUAGAGAUUGCCAGAGAUCGAAUCAAAAGAUCCGAAAGCUCCGUCGUCUCGUGACAGUUCAUACACCCUUGGUGUUGUGGUUGGUUUGCCUUGGGAUGCCUUGCCUGUGUCUCCACGGCCCUUCCCCUGACUUCCUUGCAGCUUGGGACACUCCGACUGGAAAUGUCCUUGCUGGCCACAAUGGAAACAAGUCAUCUGGCCGCUUCUACCAGACGGGUUCUGUCGAGGACAGUUCUGAACCCCAUGGUCCAUACUGCCACAACGAACACAAGCCCCCUUGGCCUUCCAGCACUCACCGGUAUGGUUCUGUCCACAUUUGGAACACGCAGGUUGGCAACCAGAGGUCUCACCUCCGUCCACCUGGUCCCAUUUUCUUUUUUUUUUUUUUUUAUCAUUAGUCUUGCCCGAUGGGCCAGACUGUGGCUUAGCCUUAAGCUUAGCUUCUUCAGCCAAGUUAGACUCCAACAAAGCCACCCGUUCCACUUCCAGUGGGUACCAAGAUGAGUAGGAUUUCGGUUUAAUCACACAUUUGGAAAACGUCCCAUACCAUUCUCCAAAGCAUCUUACUAUUGCGAAUGCUGACACCAUUCACAACAGCAAUUAUAAUAUACCUCAAUCCCCAUCAUACUAAGAUACUUAACAUCAUGUUCUUCCAAUGAUUGGAACGAACACCCUGAGUUUCCUCAAUUCUUUCUCUAGACGGAUUCAGAUUGGAAUUGAUUCAUUCCAUCCAACUAGAUCUAAGGAAACGUACCUUGACCUAUACCGAGUCCUAGCUGAUUCAUCUGAUCAUAAGUCCACUCGUGUACUGGUCAUGUAGUGUCUCCUUUGAGUCAGAUUUAACAUUGCAUAUGCUUUACUUAUUAUGAACGGCCAUCAAGGGAUAACACUUAACUUCAGUAGAGUGCUGCACGUUUAUUUCAACCCAAGCCACUCUCUGGUCCAUGUUACUUCCCUUGUCCAGGUAAUCCAUAAACAAGUUUUACAUUGCUUCCAUCCCUUCCAACCCAUCUAUUACUUCUACAUACUAGAUCGACCAACCUUUCUGUUUUUUUAGGUUCUUGCCCUUGGAAAAUAUAUCUUGGCUAAGCCGGUUCAUCUUAGAAUUCCCACAUUCACAAGCAUGAUACCCUAGCUUACCUCAACUCUUUCUUGGCUCACCCCAACUAAGGUUUCAUAGUCAUCAUAGUUUUGGAAAUAAUUUUGGUUUGGAACUCAACAUCUUAGAGCGUUGUCCUAAACAGGAUCAACCUGGCUCUGAUACCAACUUGUAAGACCCAAUCCCGGCCGCCUAGGCCGCGGUCGAUGCCUCACGUCGCUCGGUCCACUUCCUGGCCGAACCUCUUAAUUUUUGCCCUUUAUUUAUAAUAUCGCCUAAAGGCGAGGGCUAACUUAAAUCUUAGCUAAAGACUUCCCUAGUCAUUAAUAGCCUAGAUCCUUUCAACAGAUAUGCAGCGGAAUAUUCUCUAGUUAACCAAUGGUCUAAAACCAAUCUAACACUUGUCUGGUCGAAUCACCUUAGCCUUGGUCAGUUUACACAACUACCAAUUAGCUUAAAGGUCAAUCCUAAACCCAAACCAAGCCAUACGAUUCUGAGGUUCCAUUCCCCUAAACCAUUCUAUCUAGAUCUACAUAAGUAAAUGCUAGAUCAUACCUUUGCCACAUCUACGGAGCUUAUUAGCUCAU